GCACCUUCCAAAACAAUAUUAUGUUCCAGGAGCGGUACGGCAUCAAGCAGCAAGCCCUCUUCAAUGUGCUCACAGCUUACUCUGUCUACAACACAAAUCUUAACAGGGAUGAGAGUUCCCAGCAACCCAAACUCCUGUGUGGCUCCCUGGAGGUGGCUCCGCACCCCACCUGCACUUUCCAGAAUAUUCCCUCAAGGAGCACCAGCUGAGAUGACCACACAGGAUGACCAAAGUGGGGUCUGCAGCUGCUCCACCACCACCAUGGCCCUCCAAGCCUCACAUAUGCCUGUAAGCAACCCCCACCUGCCCUCAUGGCAGGACCUCCAAACCUUGCUGGUCCUCAGCACCCGGCAUGCCUCGUCUGAAAAAGGGGGCCAUGGGAUGGUGCCCAGGCACAAAUGGGAGACCAUCCAGUAAGUAGCUGAGGAGCAAGUGCCAGGGAGAGGGUGGUGGAGGCCUCCAAGGGGGUCCCUGCAGCCAUAUCUGACUCUUGCAGGAGGUGGGCUACUGCCAUGGCAUGAACAAGAUUGUCGCUGUCCUGCUCAUGUUUCUUAAUGAGGAGAAUGCUUUCUGGGCACUGGCUCAACUGAUGGACAACAAAAGACAUGCCAUGCAUGGUAGGUGACUACCCUGGAGAGCUGGAUGUGACUCAGCGACAGGAGUCUCCCUGCAGAGUUCCCCCCAGCUAACAGGGACUAGCUUGGUCCAUCUCCCCAUCAGCAAAGGGCACCAGCUCCCCCCACAGCCCUCUGUGUCCCACAGCCAUGGCCCUCAGCCCUGUCCUUGUCCAGACCACACCAUCCCUGCUGGUCCCUCUGCCUCUCUUUUGCCACCCACCAGGCCACCUCCAACCCCACCCCAAGCCCCUGAUCAGAGGAGGCCCAGGUGGCAGUGUCUCCCUGCUGUACCCCCUCCCCUCGCCUGACUCUCAAGCCCAGGAAAUGUUCACGCACACCCCAACCCCCAUCCCAUGGGCCACACAACCUGUCCCUCAGUACUGGGGUCCUCAUCCCCUUCUGCAGCCACAGUGGGGAGGGGCUGUGCCAGAAACAGAUGCCUGCCUGAUGCUCACCACUGAGCACCUGCCAAGC
rnacentral:lncRNA from 1 species